rnacentral:rRNA from 1 species
GAUGAACGCUGGCGGCGUGCCUAAUACAUGCAAGUCGAGCGAACGGACGAGAAGCUUGCUUCUCUGAUGUUAGCGGCGGACGGGUGAGUAACACGUGGAUAACCUACCUAUAAGACUGGGAUAACUUCGGGAAACCGGAGCUAAUACCGGAUAAUAUUUUGAACCGCAUGGUUCAAAAGUGAAAGACGGUCUUGCUGUCACUUAUAGAUGGAUCCGCGCUGCAUUAGCUAGUUGGUAAGGUAACGGCUUACCAAGGCAACGAUGCAUAGCCGACCUGAGAGGGUGAUCGGCCACACUGGAACUGAGACACGGUCCAGACUCCUACGGGAGUCAGCAGUAGGGAAUCUUCCGCAAUGUGCGAAAGCCUGACGGAGCAACGCCGCGUGAGUGAUGAAGGUCUUCGGAUCGUAAAACUCUGUUAUUAGGGAAGAACAUAUGUGUAAGUAACUGUGCACAUCUUGACGGUACCUAAUCAGAAAGCCACGGCUAACUACGUG